GACGAACGCUGGCGGCGUGCCUAACACAUGCAAGUCGAGCGGAGAUGAUGUGAGGAAGUUUUCGGAUGGAAUCACAUUAUUUUAGCGGCGGACGGGUGAGUAACGCGUGAGCGACCAACCUUGCACAGGGGGAUAACGGACCGAAAGGUUCACUAAUACCGCAUGAGACCACGGUGUUGCAUGACACAAGGGUCAAAGGAGGAAUCCGGUGCAAGACGGGCUCGCGUCCGAUUAGGUAGUUGGAGGGGUAACGGCCAACCAAGCCUAUGAUCGGUAGCCGACCUGAGAGGGUGAUCGGCCACAUUGGAACUGAGAUACGGUCCAAACUCCUACGGGAGGCAGCAGUGGGGAAUAUUGGGCAAUGGGGGAAACCCUGACCCAGCAACGCCGCGUGAAGGAAGAAGGUUUUCGGAUUGUAAACUUCUGUCCUUGGUGAAGAGAAGAAGACGGUAGCCAAGGAGGAAGCCCCGGCUAACUACGUGCCAGCAGCCGCGGUAA
rnacentral:rRNA from 1 species